CGAGGAAAAAGGAAAAGACCCGGCGGUAUAGCUGCGGGCGUCUACUUGUCGUCGUCCCUUCGGUUCUUUCCGUACGCCAUAUAUAUACGAUGAUAGAAAUCUACGGUUGUACAAACCAAUUGCUAACAAAUUCUACCGUGUUAUCAAAAAAAGCAUCUUAAUGUAAACCUACUGACGAUGUAUUGCUAUUUUCAGUAUCCGAAUUACAGCGUGCGGAAAUUAUCGGCUUUUUGAUUUUUUUCUACUCCGCGCAAAACUUCUUCGUUCUUUGAAGCGUGUGCGUUGUAUACUAUAAAACAUUAGUUUUCGGGUACCUAUUACUACGCCUAAAUAUUUUACG